rnacentral:rRNA from 1 species
UUGCAAACUCCGAAUACCAGUAAGUACUAUCCGGGAGACACACGGCGGGUGCUAACGUCCGUCGUGGAGAGGGAAACAACCCAGACCGCCAGCUAAGGUCCCAAAGUAUUGCUAAGUGGGAAACGAUGUGGGAAGGCUCAGACAGCUAGGAUGUUGGCUUAGAAGCAGCCAUCAUUUAAAGAAAGCGUAAUAGCUCACUAGUCGAGUCGGCCUGCGCGGAAGAUGUAACGGGGCUAAGCAAUACACCGAAGCUGCGGCAAUGUCUUUUAGACAUUGGGUAGGGGAGCGUUCUGUAAGCCGUUGAAGGUGAAUCGUAAGG